CACAGAGACAGAACUCAAACCUCAGUGUUAAGCCUCACCCUGUGGUUCCCAGCUCCCAAUGCCCAUCUAAUUGUCAAUAAACAGGCUUUGGCAGUGCCCUGGCUGAGCUCCUGACUAGUGCCUCUGAGUCUGCUCAGUUCAGCAGCACCCAGAGAAUGGAGAGUCCCGUGUUCUUACUGUCUUCUCCCCAUUGUCUCAGCCAGGUCUUGAAAUGAUGGUCAAAGUUCUGUUUGCUACUGUGCCUGGCGCUUUAAAGCCCAUUAUGACACAUUAAGUCAGUCUCAUACAUCAAAACCAAGAUUGGAGGAAUGACUGCAAUUCCAUGCCUAGGAGACUGAUCAUGGUAUCCAUGCUUCUGACUCCAUUCACUGGGCCUUUGUAUCCUGACGCAAGAUUCAGUCAUUAACUCUGGAAUUUCUACAAGGAGCUUGAAUACUGUUGAGCUUCUUCACUAGACCAUAAACUGAGGACAGAGAUAUAAAAAGGCAAUGGAAUGUUCCAUAGGACAUUGGCAGUGGCAGUGGUGGUGGCAUUGGCAGUGGCAGUGGUGGUGGCGAUGGCAGUGGCAAUAGCAGCAGCAGCAGCAGCAACGUUUAAUCAAGACAAAUUCAGCUACUUCUCCAGCAAAUGCACUCCAACUGGAACCACAGCUUCAGUGAAUGUUUCUUUCUAAGCAAAGAAUAAAGCGGCCACUGUACACAGGCCCUCCCCUCUCUGGUUUUGCAGAGCUGAUCCUAGUGAGAAACUGAGGAGAAGAAUUUAGCCUUAAGAAGCCUCCUGAAGAAAAAGCAAACAAGCAAACAAACAAAAGCAGCGUGUAGUCGCACCCAAAUGGUAUUUAACAAUGAAAUCAAGUGUUGUGGAGGUGAGAACAAAACAUGUCAACAGCUGCCCUGAAAUCAUUUCUAUGGCUUUGAGGAUUAUGGACCCAGUGUGCAGAGGAAGCCAGAAGCUCCCCCAGACCCAGUCUUCCUGUCUCCCUAUUAUAUUCAGGGGCACAGAGACAGCACCAGCAUCACCCUGCACUGUGGACACUGUUGAACUUGGCAUUGUCUCAAACAUCACUGUGAAGCUACUUGCUGUGCCUUAAUGAGGGAGGGGCCCACGGGCACCAUGUUAAUUACAAAGAGGUAUUUAAUAAUUGAGGUGAGUCUAAAACAUGGGAUCUGAAAAAUUAACCAUUUUGGAUUAAAACAAUAAGGAGAGAAAAAAAUGACUUCAGCAUGUCUAUAUCCUUU
rnacentral:lncRNA from 1 species